AACUAACGCUGGCGGCGUGCCUAACACAUGCAAGUCGUACGAGAAAGCCGGCUUCGGCUGGUGAGUAAAGUGGCGCACGGGUGAGUAACGCGUGGAUAAUCUGCCCUUAAGUGUGGAAUAACGUACCGAAAGGUGCGCUAAUACCGCAUAAUGCCUGGCAACACAAGUUGUCCGGCCAAAGAAGGCCUCUGUUUACAAGCUUUCGCUUCAGGAUGAGUCCGCGUACCAUUAGCUUGUUGGUGGGGUAAUGGCCUACCAAGGCUGCGAUGGUUAGCUGGUCUGAGAGGAUGAUCAGCCACACUGGAACUGAGACACGGUCCAGACUCCUACGGGAGGCAGCAGUGAGGAAUAUUGCGCAAUGGGGGCAACCCUGACGCAGCAACGCCGCGUGAGUGAGGAAGGUUUUCGGACUGUAAAGCUCUGUCGAGCGGGAAGAAGUGUACCAUGGCUAAUAUCCAUGAUAUUUGACGGUACCGCUAGAGAACG
rnacentral:rRNA from 1 species